rnacentral:rRNA from 1 species
UACGGAGGGAGCUAGCGUUGUUCGGAAUUACUGGGCGUAAAGCGCACGUAGGCGGCUCUGUAAGUUAGAGGUGAAAGCCCGGGGCUCAACUCCGGAACUGCCUUUAAGACUGCAUCGCUUGAAUCCGGGAGAGGUGAGUGGAAUUCCGAGUGUAGAGGUGAAAUUCGUAGAUAUUCGGAAGAACACCAGUGGCGAAGGCGGCUCACUGGACCGGUAUUGACGCUGAGGCGCGAAAGCGUGGGGAGCAAACAGG